UACGUAGGGUGCAAGCGUUGUCCGGAAUUAUUGGGCGUAAAGGGCGCGUAGGCGGUUGGAUAAGUCUUGUGUGAAAUCUUCGGGCUCAACUCGAAGUCUGCACGAGAAACUAUCUGGCUUGAGUGUGGGAGAGGUGAGUGGAAUUCCUGGUGUAGCGGUGAAAUGCGUAGAUAUCAGGAGGAACACCUGUGGCGAAAGCGGCUCACUGGACCACAACUGACGCUGAGGCGCGAAAGCUAGGGGAGCAAACAGG
rnacentral:rRNA from 1 species